UACGUAGGGUGCGACGUUGUCCGGAAUUAUUGGGCGUAAAGGGCUCGUAGGCGGUUUUGUCGCGUCGGGAGAUGAAAAACUCAGGGCUUAAACCCCUGAGACCUAGCUUUCGAAUUAACGGGCAGACUAGAGGUAUGCAGGGGGAGGAACGGAAAUUCCGUUGGUGUAGCGGUGAAAAUGCGCGAUAUCAGGAGGAACACCGGUGGCGAAGGCGGUCUCUGGGCAUUACCUGACGCUGAGGAGCGAAAGAUGUGGGGAGGCGAAACAGG
rnacentral:rRNA from 1 species